rnacentral:rRNA from 1 species
UGGGGAAUAUUGGACAAUGGGGGCAACCCUGAUCCAGCAAUGCCGCGUGUGUGAAGAAGGUCUUCGGAUUGUAAAGCACUUUCGACGGGGACGAUGAUGACGGUACCCGUAGAAGAAGCCCCGGCUAACUUCGUGCCAGCAGCCGCGGUAAUACGAAGGGGGCUAGCGUUGCUCGGAAUGACUGGGCGUAAAGGGCGUGUAGGCGGUUUACACAGUCAGAUGUGAAAUCCCCGGGCUUAACCUGGGAGCUGCAUUUGAUACGUGUAGACUAGAGUGUGAGAGAGGGUUUGUGGAAUUCCCAGUGUAGAGGUGAAAUUCGUAGAUAUUGGGAAGAACACCGGUGGCGAAGGCGGCAACCUGGCUCAUGACUGACGCUGAGGCGCGAAAGCGUGGGGAGCAAACAGGUUAGAUACCCUGGUAGUCCACGCUGUAAACGAUGUGUGCUAGAUGUUGGGUAACUUUGUUAUU